AAUACGUCUAGUACGAUUCAACUAAUCAAUACAAAUCUCGUUUAGUAGGUAUGUAAAUAAAAAUAUAAUUCAUUUUUUACAUAUUAAACAUUAUUAACUUCCUUUUUCCUUAAACGGGAAUAUCAAAGAGUAUAUAAGAAGAGAAAAAUACUAUUUUUCUAUUAUUUCUUACUGGUCGUUUGCAAAGAGAAGUACACGUACGUUUGAUAAUUCUCACGUUUGUUAUUAAAAAUCUGUGAAACGUAUAAUCCUGUAUAAAUCCUUACAAAAAUGUAUAAGUUUACCGCAUUUAUUUUGGUUGUUUGCUUGGCUGCAACAACUUUGGCUUAUCCUGCGGAUGAAGCCGGAUUAAAAGAUGCUUUCCAAUAUCAAAGAUAUGGCAGAUCUGCUGAAUCUGCUAAUCCAAUUUUCGAAGUAGGACUCCAUGAAGUAAAUGCUGAACAAGCCCUUCAUCAUGGUGGUGAACAUCCUACUCCCCAUAAGCAUUAAUUAAAUUUUCAAUAAAAUAACAAAAAUAAAAUUCGGCAAAUAAAAUUAUUUUAAUGUCAAUAAUAUGUAAUAUUAAAAAGAAAAUUGUUACAUGCAAUUACUAUUUUUGUUAAUAUCCAAACAGAAUAUAUUUCUGUUCAUUAUCCAUUAUUAUUGUAAUUAAAUAAAACAUCUCUUUUAUAAGGGAAACAUAA